rnacentral:rRNA from 1 species
AUUGAACGCUGGCGGCAGGCUUAACACAUGCAAGUCGAACGAGCGGCGGACGGGUGGGUAAUGUAUGGGAAACUGCCUGAUGGAGGGGGAUAACUACUGGAAACGGUAGCUAAUACCGCAUACCAUCAGAUGUGCCCAGGUGGGUUUAGCUGGUAGGUGGGGUAAUGGCGCACCUAGGCGACGAUCCCUAGCUGGUCCGAGAGGAUGACCAGCCAACCUGGAAAUGAGACACGGUCCAGACUCCUACGGGAGGCAGCAGUGGGGAAUAUUGCACAAUGGGCGCAGGCCUGAUGCAGCCAGGCCGCGUGUGUGAAGAAGGCCUUAGGGUUGUAAUGUACUUUCAGCGGGGAGGCGUUACCCGCAUAGGAAGCGCCGGCUAACUCCGUGCCAGCCGCCGCGGUAAUUC